AUACGGAGGAUCCGAGCGUUAUCCGGAUUUAUUGGGUUUAAAGGGUGCGCAGGCGGGAGAUUAAGUCGGCGGUGAAAUUUUUCAGCUCAACUGUAAAAGUGCCUUCGAAACUGGUUUUCUUGAGUGUAGAUGAAGUAGGCGGAAUUUGUGGUGUAGCGGUGAAAUGCAUAGAUAUCACGAAGAACUCCGAUUGCGCAGGCAGCUUACUAAACUACUACUGACGCUCAGGCACGAAGGCGUGGGGAUCAAACAGGAUUAGAUACCCUGGUAGUCCACGCAGUAAACGAUGAUUACUAGCUGUUUGCGAUACAAUGUAAGCGGCUGAGCGAAAGCGUUAAGUAAUCCACCUGGGGAGUACGUUCGCAAGAAUGAAACUCAAAGGAAUUGACGGGG
rnacentral:rRNA from 1 species